CAACAACUAAAAUAGUUGGUGUGGGUUCUUGCAGGAACAUAACUGCCCAACUGAAUCAUUUGGAUUUGAAUUUGAAAGGACAGCAGGUGCAGGAACGUAACUGAAAAAUGUAAAGAUCUCCUCAAUUUAAGAAAAUGGACCCAAUUCAAUGGACAUCAAUCAACAAAGAGGUAUACAGACGAGGAGGCGAGGACGAGGAGGCAUUCCAAGGUAUUGGUAUGUUAUGCAGAUCACAUUUAACAUCCUCCUCCCUUACCUCUUCAAUAAACAUCCCAUAGGCCUCUACAUUAUGGACAAGGUACGUGUAUGAAAAACAUUAUCAAAAGUGUUUUUCACGUUUAAAACAAAAACCAGGGUAUGAAUACUGUCGUGUGCAUGUUUUGUUAAUCAUCUGUAUAAUGACUCUUUUUUUAAACUCACAGACUUCUCCCUCCCUACACCUCUGA